rnacentral:rRNA from 1 species
GACGAACGCUGGCGGCGUGCUUAACACAUGCAAGUCGAACGAAGUGGCGAACGGGUGAGUAACACGUAAUCAACCUGCCCUUCAGAGGGGGACAACAGUUGGAAACGACUGCUAAUACCGCAUACUGAAGGAGGGGAUUGCGUUGGAUUAGCUAGUUGGAGGGGUAACGGCUCACCAAGGCGAUGAUCAGUAGCCGUACGGAGAGGAUGAACGGCCACAUUGGGACUGGGACACGGCCCAGACUCCUACGGGAGGCAGCAGUGGGGAAUCGUCCGCAAUGGACGAAAGUCUGACGGAGCAACGCCGCGUGAGUGAUGACGGCCUUCGGGUUGUAAAGCUCUGUUAAUCGGGACGCGGUACCGGAAUAGAAAGCCACGGCUAACUACGUGCCAGCAGCCGCGGUAAUUC